rnacentral:rRNA from 1 species
AAUCUACCUAGUAGAAGGGGAUAGCCCGGGGAAACUCGGAUUAAUACCGUAUACCUCCUUAGGGAGAAAGAGGGCUUAGCUUUGAUGCUCUCGCUAUUAGAUGAGCCUGCGUAAGAUUAGCUUGUUGGUGAGGUAAUGGCUCACCAAGGCGACGAUAUUUAGCUGGUCUGAGAGGACGAUCAGCCACAUUGGGACUGAGACACGGCCCAGACUCCUACGGGAGGCAGCAGUGGGGAAUAUUGGACAAUGGGCGCAAGCCUGAUCCAGCCAUACCGCGUGUGUGAAGAAGGCUUUCGGGUUGUAAAGCACUUUAAGUAAGGAGGAAAAGAUUGUAGUUAAUACCUGCAAUCCGUGACGUUACUUACAGAAUAAGGACCGGCUAAUUCCGUGCCAGCAGCCGCGGUAAUACGGAAGGUCCAAGCGU